rnacentral:rRNA from 1 species
UAGUACCGUGAGGGAAAGGUGAAAAGCACCCCGGGAGGGGAGUGAAAUAGUUCCUGAAACCGUGCGCUUACAAUCCGUCGGAGCCUUCUUUGUGGGGUGACGGCGUGCCUAUCGAAAAAUGAGUCUGCGAGUCAGUGGUAUGUGGCGAGGCUAACCCGGGUGGGGGAGCCGUAGCGAAAGCGAGUUUUAAAAGGCGUUUGAGUCGCAUGUCCUGGACCCGAAGCGGGAUGAUCUAGCCCUGAGCAGGUUGAAGCGCGGGUAAGACCGUGUGGAGGACCGAACCCACCUAGGUUGAAAACUGGGGGGAUGACUUGGGGUUAGGGGUGAAAGGCCAAUCAAAUUCCGUGAUAGCUGGUUCUCUCCGAAAUGCAUUUAGGUGCAGCGUCGUGUUAUUGCUUACAGGGGGUAGAGCUACUGGAUGCUUGCGGGCCCAUACCGGGUACCAAUAGCAGCCAAACUCCGAAUACCUGUUAGGUUUAUCACGGCAGUGAGUCGGCGGGGGAUAAGCUCCGUCGUCAAAAGGGAAACAGCCCUGAUCGUCGUCUAAGGUCCCGAAGCGCGUGCUAAGUGGGAAAGGAUGUGGAGUCGCAUAGACAGCCAGGAGGUUGGCUCAGAAGCAGCCAUCCUUGAAAGAGUGCGUAACAGCUCACUGGUCUAGUGGUUCCGCGCCGACAAUGUAGCGGGGCUUAAGCACGCCACCGAAGACGCGGCUGCAUGAUUUGUUUCAUGCGGGGUAGGAGAGCGUCCUGUAUGGGGUGAAGCGGCAGUGUGAACUUGUCGUGGACUUUACAGGAGUGAGAAUGCAGACAUGAGUAGCGAGAGACGGGUGUGAAUCCCGUCCGCUGAAUGACUAAGGGUUCCGGGGCCACGUUCGUCGUCCCCGGGUGAGUCGAGUCCUAAGGCGAGGCCGACAGGCGUAGUCGAAUGGAUGAACGGGUUGAUAUUCCCGUACCGGUGUUACACCGUUCGAACUGAAUCUGAGAGUACUAACCUUCAUUUUCUUGUUGAUUGCCUUUCGGGGUUGUUGAUGGGUUUGUGUUGGGACUGUAUCGGUAGUAGGUUAGCGUGGGAGUGACGCGGGUAGGUAGCCGGCUGCGGAGGUGGUUUUCCGUGGCUAAGCGUGUGGGCUGUCUCCUAGGUAAAUCCGGGGGAUGUUAAGCUGAGGCGUGAUGGGUAGGCUGUAAGGCUGAUUCCGGUGAUCCUGCUUGCCAAGAAAAGCUUCAACGUGAGGUGUGAUUCCGCUCGUACCCUAAACCGACACUGGUGGUCUGGUAGAGUAUACCGAAGCGAUCGGGCGAAUCCUGGCCAAGGAACUCGGCAAAUUACUCCCGUGCCUUCGGCAUAAGGGAGACCCCUGAUGGUGAUAUGGUUUUACAUUGUUGAGCUGUUGGGGGUGGCACAAGCUAGGGGGUAGCGACUGUUUACCAAAAACACAGGAGCGUGCGAAGGCGUAAGCCGCUGUAUACGCUCUGACGCCUGCCCGGUGCCGGAAGGUUAAGAGGAUCCGUUAGCUUCGGUGAAGCGGUGAAUUUAAGCCCCGGUAAACGGCGGUGGUAACUAUAACCAUCCUAAGGUAGCGAAAUUCCUUGUCGGGUAAGUUCCGACCUGCACGAAUGGCGUAACGACUUCCCCACUGUCUCGGCCAGGAGCCCGGCGAAAUUGCAGUACGAGUAAAGAUGCUCGUUAAGCGCAGAAGGACGAAAAGACCCCGGGACCUUUACUAUACCUUGGUAUUGUCGUUAGGUGUGGAUCGUGUAGCAUAGGCGGGAGGCUGUGAAGCGUGGGCGCUAGCUUGCGUGGAGUCGACAGGUGAAAUACCGCUCUUUCCAUAUCUGGCGUCUAACCUCGACGCGUUAUCCGUGUCAGGGACAGUGCCUGGCGGGUAGUUUAACUGGGGCGGUUGCCUCCUAAAGAGUAACGGAGGCGCUCAAUGGUCCGCUCAGCCCGGUUGGCAAUCGGGUGUUGAGUGUAAUCGCACAAGCGGGCUUGACUGUGAGACUGACGGGUCGAGCAGGGACGAAAGUCGGAGAUAGUGAUCCGGUGCCGGCGUACGGACGUGGCAUCGCUCAACGGAUAAAAGGUACCCCGGGGAUAACAGGCUGAUCAUUCCCAAGAGUCCAUAUCGACGGGAUGGUUUGGCACCUCGAUGUCGGCUCGUCGCAUCCUGGGGCUGGAGCAGGUCCCAAGGGUUCGGCUGUUCGCCGAUUAAAGCGGCACGCGAGCUGGGUUCAGAACGUC